UUCUGAGGCGUUCCACUGCUGGUU
rnacentral:piRNA from 1 species